GGCCACAUCACGUUGAAACCCCCGUUCAUGUACGAUCACUGAAGUUAAGCAACGUCGAGCCUAGUCAGUACUUAGAGGAGUGACCAGUUGAGAAUACCAAGUGUUGUAA